rnacentral:rRNA from 1 species
CUGCUGCCUUCCGUAGGAGUCUGGUCCGUGUCUCAGUACCAGUGUGGGGGACCUUCCUCUCAGAACCCCUACGCAUCGUCGGUUAGGUGGGCCGUUACCCCGCCUACUGCCUAAUGCGCCGCAUGCCCAUCCCUGUCCGGCAGAAGCCUUUCCUGCCUCCGGGAUGCCCCGGUGGCAUGUACGCGGGUUUAGCCCGCCUUUCGGCGGGUUGUCCCCCUGACAGGGGCAGGUUGCAUACGUGUUACUCACCCGUGCGCCGGUCGCCGGCGGAGAAA